rnacentral:misc_RNA from 1 species
UUCUUUUUUUUUCAGGGUCCAGUUUUCGGUCCAGGGUCCAGGGCCAGUAUGGAGACGACGAACAUCAGCCUCGGAUCGGCGCAAACCGUGUCUCCUCAGCUCGACUUGUCUCACUCCAACUGCCUCUGUUUCACAGAUCCAACGCUUCCUGCCGAUCAACUAGUUUGCUAACUCUGAAGUUCGGAGCAACAACAGAAAGAAGCCCUGAGUAAGAGACUCAAACCUCGAGUCAAACGCUAUGGGUUUCUUGUCCGUGGUCUAUGCUUCUGAUGCGCAAUUGCAGCAAUUGGUGUGGCAAUUGGCCUGUUCUAGACCGAGAUCCGAGGCAGUGUUCUAGAGCGACUGGUGUCAGGAGUGACUUUCAACGGUGUCAGGAGUGACUUUCAGCGGUGUCAGGAGUGACUUUCAACGGUGUCAGGAGUGAUUUCAGCGGUCCAAAAGACUGAAGCAUCAGGAGUUCCACCAGCUACUUCGCAACUUGGAAUGGUUGUACAGGUAUUGUGCAGUAUACUCGUACGAUUAGAAGCAUUCGAUGGUCAUCUCGAUAGAACAGGAGGAAUAAGAGGAGGAGCGGCAUCGCAGUUGAUUAUAAACCCGUUUUCUUUCGGCGAGGUUUUUUGUUUCCUUCCUGAGAUUUUUUUGGUGUUUUUUUUUUUUG